CCCGCUGAACUUAAGCAUCAUUAAUAAGCGGAGGAAAAGAAACUAACCAGGAUUCCCUUAGUAACUGCGAGUGAAGCGGGAAAAGCUCAAAUUUGCGAAUCUGGGUAGGCAACGCCAGCUCUUACCCCGAAUUGUAAUUUAUAGAGGCGCGAUCUGUCAGGCGGUACAGCUCGUUGGUCCAUAUGUCAGCGUGGAAUCCUGUGCCAUAGAGGGUGAUAGCCCCGUGGGACCUUGUGCUGACCGUCCACUGUGAUCGUGCCUUCAACGAGUCGGAAUGUUUGGGAUUGCAUUCCAAAAUGGGUGGUAAGCUCCAUCUAAAGCUAAAUACUGGCGAGAGACCGAUAGCGAACAAGUACCGGGAGGGAAAGAUGAAAAGCACUCUGAAGAGAGAGUGAAAUAGUACGUGAAAUUGCUGAAAGGGAAACGCUUAGGACCCGACAGUGCAGCGUGGGGGUGGCUGUUCACCAGAUUCUUUGGGAUCUGGGGAUUCUCUAUGCCCUCACAGCUCAGGCCAGCAUCAGUUUCUAAUUGUGGGUAUCAGAAAGGCACUUGGGAAUGUAGGUCGAUCUUCGGAUUUACUGUUAUAGCCCUUGGGUUGGAUAGAUGGCUCUGGAGACUGAGGAGUGCGGUGCGCUUUCGUAUUGGGCGGCCAUCUACUUGGGCAAAUCGGCGGUAAGUGUCAGUCUGACUGGGCUUGCUGACCGAGAUGUCCAUAGGUGGUGUCCUUUGCCGCGCGCCAAGGAUGCUGGUGGUAACGGUUCUAAUCGACCCGUCGUGAAACACGG
rnacentral:rRNA from 1 species